AUUUAUCUACUCGAAUGAUACAUCAUUUUUGUUGAGGAAAUAAAAGCCCAGACUCUGAGUGGGAGUAUGAUACAGGCGCUGUAGGUGUUGGAAAUCUGGUGUCCUGGAUAUCAAUACUGUGAAGAAUGUGUUGUGUCCUAUAGAGGCAGAUAUAUCCUACAAAAUAUCCAAUCUCCAAGAGAUGGAUGGGAAAAUAUAACUUAUCAUGUAAAGGCUUCAAUUCUUAAUGUAUUUAAAGAAAGAAUUUAUAAUGCAUACUUUGGUAUAUAUAGCAAUUUAUUAUUCUUUGUUGAGUUGUUUCCUACCUUCUACUUGCUGUUUGUAAUGAUGAAAAAAAGAAGGGGUUAUUAUUAUCAUGUUUCAAUGAAAACCGUAUGGUCUACGCCUUCUCUUUGGUUUGGUAAUUAUUCUU